AAUGCCAAGUUUGGCCUC
rnacentral:snRNA from 1 species